CAAUAGCGUAUAUUAAAGUUGUUGCAGUUAAAAAGCUCGUAGUUGAAACUUGGGCCUGGCUGGCGGGUCCGCCUCACCGCGUGCACUCGUCCGGCCGGGCCUUCCUUCUGAAGAACCUCAUGCCCUUCACUGGGCGUGCUGGGGAAUCAGGACUUUUACUUUGAAAAAAUUAGAGUGUUCAAAGCAGGCCUUUGCUCGAAUACGUUAGCAUGGAAUAAUAAAAUAGGACGUGCGGUUCUAUUUUGUUGGUUUUUGGAAUCGCCGUAAUGAUUAAUAGGGACAGUCGGGGGCAUUAGUACUCACAUGCUAGAGGUGAAAUUCUUGGAUUUUGUGAAGACUAACUUCUGCGAANGNAUUUGGNAAGGAUGUUUNCAUUA
rnacentral:rRNA from 1 species